rnacentral:rRNA from 1 species
GUCGAGGGGCAGCACGAAUAGCAAUAUUUGGGUGGCGACCGGCAAACGGGUGCGGAACANNNNCGCAACCUUCCCAUAACUGGUGAAUAGCCUUUCGAAAGAGAGAUUAAUACACCGUAAUAUAACGAAAAGGCAUCUUUUUGUUAUCAUAGCCGCAAGGCGGUUUUGGAUGGGCGUGCGCCUGAUUAGGUAGUUGGCGGGGUAACGGCCCACCAAGCCUGCGAUCAGUAACUGGUGUGAGAGCACGACCAGUCACACGGGCACUGAGACACGGGCCCGACUCCUACGGGAGGCAGCAGUAAGGAAUAUUGGUCAAUGGACGCAAGUCUGAACCAGCCAUGCCGCGUGAAGGAUUAAGGCCCUCUGGGUUGUAAACUUCUUUUAUAGGGGACGAAAAACGGAAAUUCUUUUCCACUUGACGGUACCCUAGGAAUAAGCACCGGCUAACUCCGUGCCAGCAGCCGCG